rnacentral:rRNA from 1 species
AACGAACGCUGGCGGCAGGCCUAACACAUGCAAGUCGAACGCCCUGGCAACAGGGAGUGGCAGACGGGUGAGUAACGCGUGGGAAUCUACCUUGUGGUACGGAACAACCAAGGGAAACUUUGGCUAAUACCGUAUGAGCCCUUCGGGGAAGGAGUUAUCGCCAUAAGAAUGAGCCCGCCGUAGGAGUUAGCUAGUUGGUG